rnacentral:lncRNA from 1 species
ACCAUGUUUCAAUGAAAUGUGAUUCAAGGCGUAAGAUAAUGAAUUAAGUAAAUAUAAAAAUUAGAAGAUGCUGUAUAAUUGCCAAUGAGACAACUCUCCAUCAGGAACGAAAUGACAUAGAAGUUAACAAGUAUUGGUCACCGUAUGACCUUCAACAAUGAGCAACGUCCAUACCACAUAGUCAGCUUUUAAAGGCCCGAUACUUACAAGCGUAAAACAAUUCAAACGAGAAAACUAACGGCCUGAUUCAUGUAAAAAAGAAUAUACAAAUAUGACAUACAGC